rnacentral:rRNA from 1 species
AACGCUGGCGGCAGGCCUAACACAUGCAAGUCGAGCGGUAGCACAGAGAGCUUGCUCUCGGGUGACGAGCGGCGGACGGGUGAGUAAUGUCUGGGAAACUGCCUGAUGGAGGGGGAUAACUACUGGAAACGGUAGCUAAUACCGCAUAACGUCGCAAGACCAAAGAGGGGGACCUUCGGGCCUCUUGCCAUCAGAUGUGCCCAGAUGGGAUUAGCUAGUAGGUGGGGUAAUGGCUCACCUAGGCGACGAUCCCUAGCUGGUCUGAGAGGAUGACCAGCCACACUGGAACUGAGACACGGUCCAGACUCCUACGGGAGGCAGCAGUGGGGAAUAUUGCACAAUGGGCGCAAGCCUGAUGCAGCCAUGCCGCGUGUAUGAAGAAAGGCCUUCGGGUUGUAAAGUACUUUCAGCGAGGAGGAAGGCAUUGUGGUUAAUAACCACAGUGAUUGACGUUACUCGCAGAAGAAGCACCGGCUAACUCCGUGCCAGCAGCAGC